rnacentral:rRNA from 1 species
UAGGGAAUCUUCGGCAAUGGGGGGAACCCUGACCGAGCAACGCCGCGUGAGUGAAGAAGGUUUUCGGAUCGUAAAGCUCUGUUGUUAAGGAAGAACGAGUGUGAGAAUGGAAAGUUCAUGCUGUGACGGUACUUAACCAGAAAGGGACGGCUAACUACGUGCCAGCAGCCGCGGUAAUACGUAGGUCCCGAGCGUUGUCCGGAUUUAUUGGGCGUAAAGCGAGCGCAGGCGGUUAGAAAAGUCUGAAGUGAAUGGCAGUGGCUCAACCAUUGUAGGCUUUGGAAACUGUUUAACUUGAGUGCAGAAGGGGAGAGUGGAAUUCCAUGUGUAACGGUGAAAUGCGUAGAUAUAUGGAGGAACACCGGUGGCGAAAGCGGCUCUCUGGUCUGUAACUGACGCUGAGGCUCGAAAGCGUGGGGAGCGAACAGG